rnacentral:tRNA from 1 species
GCGGGAAUAGCUCAGUUGGCAGAGCACAAUCUUGCCAAGGUUGAGGUGGCGCGUUCGAGUCUCGUUUACCGCUCCA